UACGGAGGGGGCUAGCGUUGUUCGGAAUUACUGGGCGUAAAGCGCGCGUAGGCGGCUUUGUAAGUUAGAGGUGAAAGCCCGGAGCUCAACUCCGGAACUGCCAUUGAAACUGUGAAACUUGAGGAUGAGAGAGGUGAGUGGAAUUCCCAGUGUAGAGGUGAAAUUCGUAGAUAUUGGGAAGAACACCGGUGGCGAAGGCGGCUCACUGGCUCAUUUCUGACGCUCAGGCGCGACAGCGUGGGGAUCAAACAGG
rnacentral:rRNA from 1 species